rnacentral:lncRNA from 10 species
UCUGAUUUCUGGCAAACCCUCUCUUUUUAAGCAUCAGCAGUACCAGCCUAGAGCAGGGGUCCUCAACCCCCAGGCCACAGACCGGUACUGGUCUGAGGCCUGUUAGGAACUGGACUGCAUGGCAGGAGGUGAGUGGCGAGCGACUGAGCAUGACCACCUGAGCUCCAUCUCCUGUUAGAUCAGCUGCAGCAUCAGGUUCUCUUAGGAGCGUGAACCCUAUUGUGAACUGAAUGUGUGCAAGAGAUCAGGUUGCAAGCUCCUUAUGAGAAUCUGAUGCCUGAUGAUCUGAGGUGGAAGUUUCUAUCCCAAAACCAUCCCUCACCACCCCCAGGCCUGUGAAAAAAUUGUCUUCCAUGGAACCGGUUCCUGGUGCCAGAAAAGGUUGGGGACCGCUGCCCUAGAGCAUCCUCCCUCUUCUUGAAAGCUUAGAUGCCCUUUUUUAUACCUGAAAUGGUGGAAGCCACACUGACUUCUGCAGCCCCAGGCCCCUGUGGGUCCACAUGACCACAGCCUGUCCUCUUCCCAGUCUCAUGAGCCUGGGCCUGCAGCCAGCUUUGAAACAGUCGAGGAAACUUCGAGGGUACUGGGGAACUCUUCGUACUAUUUUGGCAACAUUUUGCAAGUCCAAAAUUACUUCAAAAAGUCAAAAAAAUCACUUUGG